rnacentral:rRNA from 1 species
AGAACGAACGCUGGCGGCAUGCCUAAUACAUGCAAGUCGAACGAACUCUUCGGAGUUAGUGGCGCACGGGUGCGUAACGCGUGGGAAUCUGCCCCUUGGUUCGGAAUAACAGUUGGAAACGACUGCUAAUACCGGAUGAUGACGAAAGUCCAAAGAUUUAUCGCCAAGGGAUGAGCCCGCGUAGGAUUAGCUAGUUGGUGAGGUAAAGGCUCACCAAGGCAACGAUCCUUAGCUGGUCUGAGAGGAUGAUCAGCCACACUGGGACUGAGACACGGCCCAGACUCCUACGGGAGCA